rnacentral:misc_RNA from 1 species
GAUGAAGAACGCAGUGAAAUGCGAUAAGUAAUGUGAAUUGCAGAAUUCAGUGAAUCAUCGAAUCUUUGAACGCACCUUGCACCCUUUGGCAUUCCGAAGGGUAUGCUCGUUUGAGUGUCAUUGUACUCUCACACUUCCAAUCUUUGGAUUGGGAGCGGUGGACUUGGGUGUUGCUGCUUACUGUGGCUCACCUCAAAUCGAUUCGUGCACCUCUUGGUUGGACAUAGUACGGCGUGAUAAGUGUCUUCGCCGGCACCUCAGUAGAGGGUGGCUGAUCAGGAGCUCUGUGCUUCAAACCGUCCUCGGACAACAACUGACAACUUGACCUCAAAUCGAGUAGGACUACCCGCUGAACUUAAGCAUAUCAAUAAGCGGAGGA